GGGAAAGAACAAGGAGUUUCUCUCUCCUCACGGCUGCCUGGGACACAUGCGGAGUCGAUUGUCACGUUAAAAAGCCGAGGGAUAAGCAAAAACACAUCCAAAGCAGGCAGCCAGAAGGAAGAGAAGUCUGGGGUCCAAGUCACAGGAUGCACAUUGGAGGCAACUGGGAAUGCCUCCUCUGCAGAGGGGACAAGUACGGAGCAAUACAGUCACUGAUUCAAACAUCUGGAGCACUCAAAGGCCUUUAGACGUUGCCUUGGGGAAAAGAUGAUACACAGAUUGAGAGUUCAUGCGCAGCUUCCGAGUUUUAUAAUGGAGCUUUGACUCUCACAGCAAACAUGAAGCAAAAGGUUGUUUUUGAGUCUCAAAAGCCUGACUUUUGAGUGUCAAAUAAAAUCAUGGUGUAUUUGUGGCAUUUCGUUUAUACCAGGAACAAUAAAUGUGAAAGGACGUGAAAACAGUCAACACAGUUCAUCCAAAGUCCCAGAAGUCAGGGAGAGAAGGAUGCUGUGGACACAUACGACUGAGUGUGCAUUCAGCAUUUGAGGAUGUAUACUGUAUGUUGUGAAUGGAGUUUCAAAUUCAGGGACUGCGAC
rnacentral:lncRNA from 1 species